rnacentral:rRNA from 1 species
GACGAACGCUGGCGGCGUGCUUAACACAUGCAAGUCGAACGGAAAGGCCCUGCUUUUGUGCGGUGCUCGAGUGGCGAACGGGUGAGUAACACGUGAGUAACCUGCCCUUGACUUUGGGAUAACUUCAGGAAACUGGGGCUAAUACCGGAUAGGAGCUCCUGCUGCAUGGUGGGGGUUGGAAAGUUUCGGCGGUUGGGGAUGGACUCGCGGCUUAUCAGCUUGUUGGUGGGGUAGUGGCUUACCAAGGCUUUGACGGGUCGCCGGCCUGAGAGGGUGACCGGCCACAUGGGGACUGAGAUACGGCCCAGACUCCUACGGGAGGCAGCAGUGGGGAAUAUUGCACAAUGGGCGGAAGCCUGAUGCAGCAACGCCGCGUGCGGGAUGACGGCCUUCGGGUUGUAAACCGCUUUCGCCUGUGACGAAGCGUGAGUGACGGUAAUGGGUAAAGAAGCACCGGCUAACUACGUG